UGCUCCUUGGCCCAGUUGGUUAAGGCGUCCGACUGUUAUUCGUAUGACCAUGUGACUUUGUCACGUGGUGCGAUCCGCAUCGGGACAUCGAGAGUUCAAGUCUCUCAGGAGCAG